AGGAAUAUUAUCGAUGAGUUCUCUUCGAACUGCACCCACUUGCAUACAGCUGACUGAAGCAUUCACCACCACACCACUAUCACGAUCAAACACAAGCUCACAUCCCAAACCAUUUCUGGUCCACGACUUCUCAUAUCUUUGUAGAACCCUUUUUUGAUAAUUAAUUGAUCUUACUGGAGAGGAGAGAGAGAGAGAGAGAGAUGCAG
rnacentral:lncRNA from 1 species